UGUGUGUGUGUGUGUGUGACGCAUUUAACACCAGUCUUCCCUCACGCUCCUCAGAGCGCAGAUCAUCAGCGUGAGAUGCAAUCAUCAGCUCUGCUUCCUUUCGACAUCCGGAACAAGGCUAAGACAGACAUUGGGUGUGUGAACAUUGAAUUGGCAGAAAACAGUCAGGAUUGACUUUGAGCCAUCAGGAUGCUGUCGGUUGUGGUCUGUCUACAGCUGUUACUGGCCCUCGCUUUUAUGCAACCCACUGGUGAUUUCUGGGAUGAGUGGGGCCCGUAUAGCGAAUGCAGUCGCAGCUGUGGCGGUGGGGUUACUAUGAGGACGAGACGAUGUGUAACCCAGCGGUGAGUGGCAGACUGUCUUCACUUUCACAGCCUCAUGUCAUCGAGAGACUCUUUUAUUUACUGUCAUUCUAAUGUCAUCCAGUGUCCUUUGAUGAGUUAACUUGAGUUAGUUCAGGGAUGAAACAGAUGAAAAGAGGUCUGUCAGAGCUGAAAACGAGAUAUUGAAUAGUGCUUUGAAUGCACAGGAGAGAGAGUUAUUCUUCUGUAGCUGAAAGGAGAAUAUCCAUUUGAAA
ensembl:lncRNA